rnacentral:lncRNA from 1 species
UCGAUGUCCCUACAGUGAAUCGAUCCCAGGAGUCUACGAGUUGUCCGGAAGAAAAAGGUCGAUCCGCAAACCCGCUGUUCUGGAGCAAUGCCUGUGUACAGUUUGCGACCGGAAAACCCAGCGGAAACCUCGACACCAACGGUCGGAGAAGACAAAAAAAAAAGGCUUUCAAUCAGUCACCGCGGUGCCUAGUUUGUCGCAGUACUCAUUCAACUUCCAACCACGAUGGACAGGAGUUACACGGCAUCGCACAAUAUGUUUACAGGUAUCCGGAGAUGCUGCCGCCGUAGC